GGGGGCCUGAUCCAAAGCCCAUUGAAGUCAAUGGAAAGACUCCCCAUUGACUUCACUGGGCUUUGGAUUGGGCUCAUGUUCC
rnacentral:pre_miRNA from 1 species